UAGUAGCAGCACUGGGUGGUAAAGGUGAAAGAGACUGUCUUCAAGAUGGAGGUGGCAAAUGGGUCCAGAAACAACGUGGGAGGAAGACAAAGGAGUAAGCCAUGUUCCCCACCAUCUCAUGGGAGAAAAAAAAUGGAGUGGAGAAGUGAUACAAAUGCCAUCCACGAACAUGGGAUGAACAUGAAUAUCUUCCCAAAACGGUACUGUGUUGUUCCUUCUGGCCUGCCAGGCUAGGGUGCUAAAGAUCAACUUUAGCACUAUGCUCCAGUUACUUCAGCCAUCAAUCAAUCACUAGUUACAAAUGGAUGCUGCAUGUUAAAAAAAUUAAAAUGUUUUAAAAAGUU